UCCAUAUUCCAGCUCAAAAUCUUGCUGCUUCCCCUGGUUCAGAAAAAUUUACUCUUCCUCCGGCAAUUAAAUCAAUUAUUGGAUAUAAACAUAUCUUUCAAAUAAUACCUGACAUACAAAGAUUCAGAACAAGCAUUCCUUCUUUUAAAGUUGUCAAAAUCUUUAAUAAUCACUAUGAUACAAAAGCAAUCACUUUUCC
rnacentral:lncRNA from 1 species